rnacentral:rRNA from 1 species
UACGUAUGGAGCAAGCGUUAUCCGGAUUUACUGGGUGUAAAGGGAGCGUAGGCGGUGGUUUAAGUCUGAUGUGAAAGCCCGGGGCUCAACCCCGGUAUUGCAUUGGAAACUGAAUCACUAGAGUGUCGGAGGGGUAAGUGGAAUUCCUAGUGUAGCGGUGAAAUGCGUAGAUAUUAGGAGGAACACCAGUGGCGAAGGCGGCUUACUGGACGAUUACUGACGCUGAGGCUCGAAAGCGUGGGGAG